rnacentral:rRNA from 1 species
CAUGGCUCAGGAUGAACGCUAGCGACAGGCUUAACACAUGCAAGUCGAGGGGCAGCAUAAAAGUAGCAAUACUUGGUGGCGACUGGCGCACGGGUGAGUAACGCGUAUGCAACCUACCUAUCAGAGGGGAAUAACCCGGCGAAAGUCGGACUAAUACCGCAUAAAACAGGGGCACCGCAUGGUGAUAUUUGUUAAAGAGAUUCGCUGAUAGAUGGGCAUGCGUUCCAUUAGGUAGUUGGUGAGGUAACGGCUCACCAAGCCGACGAUGGAUAGGGGAACUGAGAGGUUGGUCCCCCACACUGGUACUGAGACACGGACCAGACUCCUACGGGAGGCAGCAGUGAGGAAUAUUGGUCAAUGGGCGGGAGCCUGAACCAGCCAAGUCCGCGUGAAGGAAGAAGGAUCUAUGGUUCGUAAACUUCUUUUGCAGGGGAAUAAAGUGCAGGACGUGUCCUGUUUUGUAUGUACCCUGAGAAUAAGGAUCGGCUAACUCCGUGCCAGCCGCCGC